GACUACCGGGGUAUCUAAUCCCAUUUGCUCCCCACGCUUUCAAGCCUCAGCGUCAGUUAUAUCCUAGGCACUCGCCUUAGCCUCUGGUGUUCCUCAAUAUAUCUACGCAUUCCACCGCUACACAUUGAAUUCCAGUACCCCCUGAUUAACUCUAGGGAGGCGAUCUCCAAUGCACACAUUUGUUAAGCAAAUGCUUUUAACAAUGGAUCAACCUCCCCGCCUACGCUUCCUUUACGCCCAAUAAAUCCGGAUAAUGCUCGUGACCUAUGUUUUACCGCAGCUGCUGGCACAUAGUUAGCUGUCACUUAUUCAAUUAGUACCAUCAAGGCGCGCUCAUUUCCUAGCACGCUUUUUUUCCUAAAUAAAAGAACUUUACAAUCAGAAGACCUUCAUCGUUCACGUGGUAUUGCUCCAUCAGACUUUCGUCCAUUGUGAAAAAUUCCUCACUGCAGCCGCCCGUAGG
rnacentral:rRNA from 1 species